rnacentral:rRNA from 1 species
CUACGGGGUGCACCAGUGGGGAAUAUUGCGCAAUGGGGGAAACCCUGACGCAGCAACGCCGCGUGGAGGAUAACACAUUUCGGUGCGUAAACUCCUUUUAUAUGAGAAGAUAAUGACGGUAUCAUAUGAAUAAGCGCCGGCUAACUCCGUGCCAGCAGCCGCGGUAAUACGGGGGGCGCAAGCGUUACUCGGAAUCACUGGGCGUAAAGGGAGCGUAGGCGGAUUAAUAAGUGUCUUGUGAAAUGCUAUGGCUUAACCAUAGAAUUGCAAGACAAACUGUUAAUCUAGAGUUCAGAAGAGGUAGCUGGAAUUGGUGGUGUAGGGGUAAAAUCCGUAGAGAUCACCAGGAAUGCCAACGGCGAAAGCAAGCUACUGGGAUGACACUGACGCUGAGGCUCGAAAGCGUGGGGAGCAAACAGGAUUAGAUACCCUCGUAGUC